GUGUUGCAACCCGGCCGGUUGGCGGUUACCUCUAGACAUUUUAGACAACUAAAAGGAAGUCUGUGUUUGCAGACGAGGCCCAAACUUGGAAAACCUUGCAUGAAAUCCGUAUCUGUGAACCCAAGGCAGAGGACAGAGGAGAUGGCAGGUUCCAGCAGCCACGGCUCCUCCAGCCUGGGUCCUAUGUGCCGAGAUGUGUAGAGCCCCCCUGAACCUACGACCGGAGCGGAACUACUGCAGCCUACCCACACACCCAUGAGCAACAAAUGACAGGGUGCUCUUUGCUGCCAGUGCCCAGCCUGGGAAUGCUUUUCAACACUUUAUCUGUGCAAACACCCUUGUGAACACCUGUUGAAGUUCAGUGCUUUCUGCACAGCAGCCCAUGCCUGCCCAGGAUGCUGUACACUGGAAAGUGCAGAUUGUCUUCGGUUUGAAAUGGCUCCAAAACAGCCCGGAGGGCGUGCGGCGGGAGGGACGCGACUGCUCGGAAGAGCCGUCCCACGUGCUUUCGGGGAAACGGCCCCGGAGCGAGAAGGAGCAGAAUUGGGAGGAAACCGAAAAGCGAAAGAGGGACUUGGUGCUGUGACAGCGUGCCUCAUCCUGGGUUCCAUGAAAAAAUUAAGCCUAGCGCCCUGAGGCAUCUGUGUAUGAAUUACUGUCUCUCUUGGGACAACUGAGAAAACAGUCAAGGAAAUCACUGACUGUGGCUUAUGGCUCAGAUGGGAAACCCAAGUUGAGAAAGGCAGUCCCUGAUACACAAUUUCAUUUUUUUUUUUUUAUGAGUGCAUCACACCUUGACCAGUACUGGAAUGAGGAAUCACAGGAUGAGAAGCUGUUGUUGGGGGAGGUGAUGAGAGACGAGUUGAAGACUAAGAAGAGACUAAAUGAUGUAUGACUUCGGAAAGAUCUGUGAGGAAUUAUGGUCAUCGUCCAGAGCUGGGAUUCUUAAGUUUUGGCCAUGGGCCCCUUUGGCAGUCCCAUGAACUCCUUCAAAGAGUAAUGUUUUUAGUUGAAUAAAAUAAAAUACAUGAGAUUAAAUAGAAAACCAGCUACACUGAAAUGCAGAUAUCAAAAUAUUAAAACUAACUUUGUGACAUAGUGCUAUAAGUGCUCGUUAAUGGCAUUAAAUAAGAUCUCGCAGCAGGUCUGACGACUGCAAUUUCAAAAUUGUGCUUAGCAUAAGCCAUAGUUUGAGAUAAUUGUAACAACUGUAAUGUGACAAAAAUGUGUGGGUCAUGGUUUGUUGACUUUACUCCUAAUUGAAGGAAAUUCUAAGUUUCAAUUAGAAGUCUGUAAAAAUAGACUGACGUUUGCCAUCCAAACUCAUGAACCUCCAGAAUUCUGUCCAUACAUGCCAAGUGAGAACUGCCGAUGCAGAGCACCAGAAGCCAUAUGAAGAUUAUAAACAGGGUGAAAUGAUGUGAUUUAUUUUCAGUAGCGCCCUCUGUCUACAUAGGAAGCUGCAUAGAAUUGUUUGUUGUGUUUACUCUAGGGAUGUUGCAGAGCGUGUCCUUCGUCAUGUUUGUAGAGUGUCCUCUUUGAGGACUCUGGUGGAAAUGUUCUAGGUCUCACAGUGGUGGUUACACAACUGUAUGGGUUUGUUAGAAAAGGGUGAAUUUUAUUAUGUGUAUAUUAUACUUCCUUUAGCCAGACUUUAAAAAAUGUAAGCAGUCAGGGGCGCCUGGGUGGUUCAGUCGGUUAAGUGGCCAACUUUUGGUUUCAGUUCAGGUCAUGAUAU